rnacentral:rRNA from 1 species
GUUAUAUAGUUAAGUGACUAAGCGCAUACGGUGGAUGCCUUGGCAGUCAGAGGCGAUGAAGGACGUAGUAACCUGCGAUAAGCGUUGGUAAGCUGGUAAACAAGCUUUGACCCAACGAUUUCCGAAUGGGGAAACCCAUCUAACAUAAGUUAGAUAUCUUGCACUGAAUACAUAGGUGUAAGAAGCAAACCCGGAGAACUGAAACAUCUAAGUACCCGGAGGAAAAGAAAUCAACCGAGAUUCCCUUAGUAGCGGCGAGCGAACGGGGAUUAGCCGAUGAUUAUUGAAUUAGUGGAACGCUCUGGGAAGUGCGGCCAUAGUGGGUGAUAGCCCCGUACACGAAGAUUCAAUAGUCACAUAUUAAGUAGGACGGGACACGUGUUAUCUUGUCUGAAGAUGGGGGGACCAUCCUCCAAGGCUAAAUACUCCUGACUGACCGAUAGUGAACCAGUACCGUGAGGGAAAGGCGAAAAGAACCCCUGUGAGGGGAGUGAAAUAGAUCCUGAAACCGUAUGCGUACAAGCAGUGGGAGCAGACUUGUUCUGUGACUGCGUACCUUUUGUAUAAUGGGUCAGCGACUUAAUUUUAGUAGCAAGGUUAACCGUAUAGGGGAGCCGUAGGGAAACCGAGUCUUAAUAGGGCGUUUAGUUGCUGGGAUUAGACCCGAAACCGAGUGAUCUAGCCAUGAGCAGGUUGAAGAUCAGGUAACACUGAUUGGAGGACCGAACCCACUUAUGUUGAAAAAUGAGGGGAUGACUUGUGGCUAGGAGUGAAAGGCUAAUCAAACUCGGAGAUAGCUGGUUCUCCUCGAAAGCUAUUUAGGUAGCGCCUCGUGUAUCACCCUGGGGGGUAGAGCACUGUUUGGGCUAGGGGGUCAUCCCGACUUACCAACCCCAUGCAAACUCCGAAUACCCAGGAGUGCGAUCACGGGAGACACACGGCGGGUGCUAACGUCCGUCGUGGAGAGGGCAACAACCCAGACCGCCAGCUAAGGUCCCAAAGUUACAGUUAAGUGGGAAACGAUGUGGGAAGGCUUAGACAGCUAGGAGGUUGGCUUAGAAGCAGCCAUCCUUUAAAGAAAGCGUAAUAGCUCACUAGUCGAGUCGGCCUGCGCGGAAGAUUUAACGGGGCUCAAACUGUACACCGAAGCUGCGGAUAUCUUUUAGAUAUGGUAGAGGAGCGUUCUGUAAGCUGAUGAAGCUCAAUUGAGAAGUUGGGUGGAGGUAUCAGAAGUGCGAAUGCUGACAUGAGUAACGACAAAGGGGGUGAAAAACCCCCUCGCCGGAAGACCAAGGGUUCCUGCGCAACGUUAAUCGGCGCAGGGUGAGUCGGCCCCUAAGGCGAGGCUGAGAAGCGUAGUCGAUGGGAAACAGGUUAAUAUUCCUGUACUUGUAUAUAUUGCGAUGGGGAGACGGAGAAAGCUAAACCAGCAUGGCGACGGUUGUCCAUGUUUAAGGUUGUAGGCUGAGGACUUAGGCAAAUCCGGGUCCUUAAGGCUGAGAACUGAUGACGAGAUCUCUUUUAGAGAUUGAAGUGGUUGAUGCUCUGCUUCCAGGAAAAACCUCUAAGCUUCAGAUAUAUAGGAACCGUACCCCAAACCGACACA